AAUGUUGACAUGUCGAUAUAACUGAAGGAGGGAUUGCUUGUUGUAUUAUUUUCUGCGUCCCUAUGACAGCUUUUAUAUAAUAUGAGGACGAGUCGAUAUAAUUUAAGUUGACAAAAGGCGUUGUUUUAAAAGUUUGUAUAAUAUCUGUGUGGAUCACUGGAUGUCGACAUGACUUAUGAAGACAUGGGUAUAACAUAUAGACCGACGACAAGGGCGUGUUUUCCACGACGUUGUCAAACGAGUAUUCCGUAGCAGCGGACACAUUUAAUCUGUCACGUGACCAAGUGUGGAAGCUCUCAUUGGACAGCAUUGAUCAUUUGUUCAGUGACGAUGAGGUCAAACGGAAGUUACGUCACAAGUGGGGACAGUUAAAAGACCACGUGUUUGCUGAUAAACAUGUGUCUCGGUUUAUAUGAAACUUCUUCGUCAGUUAUCCUGUUAAAGAUAAUAAAUGAUAUUAAUGUU